ensembl:lncRNA
AUGUUUUUCUUGAUUGCUGUGGUUGCAAGUGGUGGAGGAAUUGUACUGACUGGACUCAUAAGCAUCUGUUUGUACAGAUGUACACGGAAGUCAAAGGCAGAGAGGAUUUGGAGCGAAUUCAUCAGCCAAAAACAGGGACUUUCUUUAGCAACAGCCAGUUCAGACACAGUAAGUAAUAUAAUUUUACAUUUGUUAGAGCAGCUAAUUGAUCAUUUUAAUAUUUCCCGCUGUUUAAUAUAUCAUUCUUUGUUAUUUAGACUGGAGAGGAAGUUGCAGCAAUUUAUUCAACCAUCAACGACAUGCAACCCCCUUCACAACCACCAGGUAUAUUUGAUAAAACUAUAUCUUCAACUUAGUCUGAACUCUAUCAUGGUCAUUAUUUGAUAUCUGAUGUGUCAUGUUAUGCAGGAAAGAGUGAAGAAUCAAUGACAACUGAGGUGAGUAAGGCAGUUGGUUACACAUUACACAAUAUUUAUGUUUAUGUCAUUUUAAGAUUUCAUUUUCCUCUAGGUUGAACUGAAUCAUUUGUAUUCCACCAUCCUCACCAAACCGGCCAUCUCCAGUGACAGCAGGGGUGUUUACAGUCAGCCAAAGGUCCGCUGAAAGAAUAAAACUCUGCCUGCUACUGUUUUAAUGCA